rnacentral:rRNA from 1 species
GACGUAGGGCGCGAGCGUUGUCCGGAUUUAUUGGGCGUAAAGAGCUCGUAGGCGGCUUGUCGCGUCGACUGUGAAAUCCCGCGGCUCAACUGCGGGUCUGCAGUCGAUACGGGCAGGCUAGAGUUCGGUAGGGAGACGUGGAAUUCCUGGUGUAGCGGUGAAAUGCGCAGAUAUCAGGAGGAACACCGGUGGCGAAGGCGGGUCUCUGGGACGGUACUGACGCUGGAGACGCGAAAGCGUGGGAGCGAACAGG